rnacentral:rRNA from 1 species
AACGAACGCUGGCGGCAGGCUUAACACAUGCAAGUCGAACGCCCCGCAAGGGGAGUGGCGCACGGGUGAGUAACGCGUGGGAAUAUGCCCUUCGGUUCGGAAUAACACAGGGAAACUUGUGCUAAUACCGGAUACGAUCUACGGAUGAAAGAUUUAUCGCCGAGGGAGUAGCCCGCGUAGGAUUAGCUAGUUGGUGAGGUAAUGGCUCACCAAGGCGACGAUCCUUAGCUGGUCUGAGAGGAUGAUCAGCCACACUGGGACUGAGACACGGCCCAGACUCCUACGGGAGGCAGCAGUGGGGAAUAUUGGACAAUGGGGGAAACCCUGAUCCAGCCAUGCCGCGUGAGUGAUGAAGGCCUUAGGGUGGUAAAGCUCUUUCGCCAGGGAAGAUAAUGACGGUACCUGGAAAAGAAGCCUCGGCUAACUCCGUGCCAGCCGCCGCCGUAACAC